UAGUUGCAGUUCUCUGAGCACACUCUGUUUUGUCAAUAUCCUUCUUAAAAUGUGGCACCCCAGACUGGACAAUUUACUCCAGAUGUGGCAUUACCAGUCCAUCUGUACAGCAUCAUUGUCUUUGUAGCAGAAUAUGAAUAUAAUACCUAGGCAUGCGAAGGAACUGUACUAUUCCAGCAAGCUUCUGGAAACCUUGUCUAGAAUCUGGAACCAAGGAAAUUCUCAAGACUUCAGCAGGCUUCUAAAACUGUACAGCAGAGGUGAAAAAACAACUGGCUUUGUUUUACUAGAUCUACUUUGUUUUACUAGAACCUCAAGAUCCACUAGCCAGAGGAUCUUGCACAGAAGACAUCCAGUUAGAGUAGAAAAACAAAACAGGGUGCCUCUGAGCAUAUUCUGAGCCUUGAAAUUUGUUUUCAGUACCUGAACAUGAAAUCAAAGUACUUUUGCACAGAAAUUCAGCCUCUCUUAGCUUCCUUUAUUUCAGAAGCCUAAUUUUCAUGAGAAAAGUCAAUUUGUUGUUGCUAUUGUUAAGCAGUUAGAAGUCAGAAACUUAUGUCAAUCUACGCAAAUCAUCCAGAAAUCUAACGAUAGAUCCCAAUCUAUCACCGCUGCUAGACAGGAAUGGCAAGAAAACAGAAGAAAAACAAACUUAGUUGCAUGAUUAUGUAGAAUACAGAGAAACAAGGAAACACACACUCCAUUAAAUCACAUGUAAUUACUGGCUUGUCCAAGUACAAUGCAGGUUUAGACAUAUGAUUAGAAAUAAAAUUAUGUUGCAAGUUCAUGAGUUCACACCUGAACAUCCUGUAGCCAUUCAUACUGUUAUAUCUAAUGAGCUUAUGAAAUAAUGGAGUGAUAUCUACUA